CCCAGCCCCGGCCUCCGCGGCGUGGGCAGAGGGGGGCAGCCCCCAGGUCUCCCCACAGGCAGCGAUGCUUGGGGCUGGUUGGGGUUUUCGGAGGGGUGGAGUUUACACCCGUCGUGGCCCCGCACAACCCGGCAGUGGGCACAGAGCAAGGGGACACGGCGCACGUCCAGUGCCAGACCCGCCAGGAGGGGAAAGGCACUAACCCAGACCCCAAAACUGAAAAAAACCAAACCCAAACCCUAAACCCCCUAAACCAAUCCUUAAGAAAACGGCGAGGAGGUUGAAGGCGAUGCUGCUGGGAGGGAACCGAAAGCCACGCAUUUUUUUCUGCCCCAGGAGAGAGAAGAAAUGCCUCCGUCACCGAUCCAGCCCCUGGAGCGGCUCCAGCCCGGUGAGGUACCGGGGUGCUCCUGGCCUGGCACAGCCUCCCGGCGGCUCCAUCAGAUGGCUCGACCACCACCGCGGCUUCAUUUGAGCGUUUUUUGUUUGUUUUGGUGGGUUUUGGUUUUCAUUUCUUUUUCCUCCAAUAAAAGUGCUUCACGAAGGCCACAGCCCGGGGCCGCUCCCACCAGCCCGCGGUCUGUCCCCACUCCGAGAUCAGGCCCCACAUCCACAGGAAGAACAGGAUCAUCACUCAGUUAAUUGUGCUGAAUGCAGAGGUAAGAGCAGGGGCAUCCUCAUUCUCUAGCCAGUGCUAAACAAAAGAAACUCAUUUUCUCAUCAAGUCUUCAAAGCAUGUGAAACCACACCAGUUGUCUCCACUGAGAAGAAGCACGGUUGAUUUUGGCCUCUCUUCUCAGACACACUCCCAGACUGGGGAUUGAAGAUGGUCCUGCACUGGUAAAGGUAGAUUAAAUACAAAGGUGUUUCUGCAUAAUUUCUGUGAUUUAGUGAUGCUUCUCCAGUCCCUGAUGUUGCCCACUUGAAGGUGCUUUACAAAUACCCAGGGAUGAAUUAUUUUUCUGACUCCACCUGCAAAACUCCCCCAUAGGCCAGAAGGUUUGUGCCACAGUCCCUUGCUCCAUUUUGCCAUACUGGGCUGUACCUCAAGUCCAAACCAGCAGCAGGAGCAGCUGUUGGACAUCUCCUGCCUGGGCACAGAGCUCUGGCACAGCUGCCCCGCUGGCCUCACCUCCUGAAG
rnacentral:lncRNA from 1 species